GGACAUGAAGGCGAUCUGGCUGCAACAUGUCACUCCAUUGAUCUCCAGGGUUGGUUUGACUGCUCUGGAUGGCUGGGUGGGUGUCCUCUUCCCCCUCACUGCUCUGCAGGCCUCCCUCCUAAAGCCGCCAGCACUUGGCCAAGAGAACUAUCUUCCUUGAUAUAGGGGGACCGUUCUUUGAUCAAGGGUAUACAAAAUGUUGCGUUCCCCUGAUACAACCUCCAAACAAGCUCUCAAGGUCCAUUUGUAGGUGAACAUAGGGUAGUUCAAGCUCCUAAGAUGCCAAACGCAUCCAGAUGAGGCCCUGUGCAAGGCAGACUGCCCUUGGAA
rfam:Mustela putorius furo unplaced genomic scaffold scaffold00037, whole genome shotgun sequence.